rnacentral:rRNA from 1 species
GGAAGGAUCAUUACUGAAUUGUCAACAAGAGUUGUUGCUGGCCCCUGUACGGGGGCAUGUGCACGCUCUGUUUACACAUCCACUCACACCUGUGCACCCUCUGUAGUUCUAUGGCCUGGGGGGGCUCUGUCCUCCUGUGCUGUGGUUCUACGUCUUUACACACACACUGUAAUAAAGUCUUAUGGAAUGUACGUCGCGUUUAACGCAAUGAAAUACAACUUUCAGCAACGGAUCUCUUGGCUCUCGCAUCGAUGAAGAACGCAGCGAAAUGCGAUAAGUAAUGUGAAUUGCAGAAUUCAGUGAAUCAUCGAAUCUUUGAACGCACCUUGCGCCCUUUGGCUAUUCCGAAGGGCAUGCCUGUUUGAGUAUCAUGAACACCUCAACUCUCAUGGCUUGCCUGUGAUGAGCUUGGACUUUGGGGGUCUUGCUGGCCUGUGGUCGGCUCCUCUCGAAUAAAUUAGCUUGCCGGUGUUUGGUGGGGUCACAGGUGUGAUAACUAUCUACGCUUGCGGUUUUCCACCAGGUAACCUUCAGCAAUGGAGGUUCACCGGAGCUUACAAAUGUCUCUCCUCAGUGAAGACAGAUUUUGACCAUUUGAUCUCAAAUCAGGUAGGACUACCCGCUGAACUUAAGCAUAUCAAUAAGCGGAGGAAAAGAAACUAACAAGGAUUCCCCUAGUAACUGCGAGUGAAGCGGGAAGAGCUCAAAUUUAAAAUCUGGCGUGCCUCUGGUCGUCCGAGUU